CUGCUCUCCGCCAGAGAACUACAAGUGAAAAACUUCAAACUCAAAGGACUUGGCGGUGUCCCAUAUCGACCUAGAGGAGCCUGUCCUAUAAUCGAUACUCCCCGCUCUACCUAACCUCAACUAGCACCCCACAGCCUAUAUACCGCCGUCGACAGUCUACCCCAUGAGGGCCCAACAGUAGACACAAUAGCCCAACCGCUAACACGUCAGGUCAAGGUGUAGCACAUGCUGAGGAAGAGAUUGGCUACAUUUUUUACAUUAAAAAACACGAAAUGCAACAUGAAACCCUGCAUGAAGGUGAAUUUAGUAGUAAGAUCUAAUGAGAGUAUUUAUCUUAACAACGCUCUGGGACGCGCACACACCGCCCGUCA
rnacentral:rRNA from 1 species